UAGUGACUUUCAGUUCUUAAUUUUUUUUUAAAAUGUAUUCAUUUGGAAAAUGCUUGAGUCCAAAGUGACGUGUGUAUGUUGAAAUAUGAAACGUUGUUCUUUGCAGGGUGGAUCUGGAAGAAGUGGACUUGAUGGUCUACCAGGGAAAACAGGCGCGAAGGGUGAACAGGGACAAAAGGGUGAGCCUGGUCCGGUGAGUGCAUCAGAGAUAUUUCAUAACAAUGUACUGAAUUCAAUUAUACUGUCUUAUGCAUAGUUAACAACUCAUGUGGGGAAAACUGUUUAAACAUGAUAAACAAAUCAAAAAUAACUGAUUAUGAAGGUGACAGAACAUAAAAUCUUCUCAUUACAAAGCAUGUGAAUUAUCUCACCGACACAAAAACAUUUAUGAAAAGAAAAGGAAAAGCAACAAUGCUGUUGUGAUCUUCUAAUGUUUUCUUUAUCAGUUGCACAUGCACUUUAGACCUUUUAUUUCUUUGUUGUGAUGAGUUGUAUAUUCAGUCUGAUGUAGUGUCCCUUCUAUAUUCUCGUCCUGAAGAAACAUUUUUCUAAUUUUCACUGAAUUCUUGAGACAAGAUAUUGUCCGUGUUUAAUGUGUGUGUGUGUGUGUGUGUGUGUGUGUGUGUGAGCAGAGGGGAGAGAGAGGAGACCAAGGCCGGGUGGGGAUUGCAGGAAUGCCUGGUUUACCAGGAACUCCAGUGAGUAUCAAUUUGAAUGACAGUGCUUAUGGUUCAGACAUUACGUCCUCGUCCUUAUUCAUUUCUUAAGGUGACAGGCAACAUUAAAGCCACUAUAUAAAAUAUAGUGGCUUUUUAUGUUGUUUCAGGAACAUUAGCAUGAGCCUUCUGUUUUUUCAACGUAAUGAUCAAUCCUCUGCUCUUUAGGGGAGAGCUGGCAUCGAUGGGAAGAGGGGCCUGCCAGGAACAGACGUGAGGAACACUUUCAUCUAACAUUUACAGCUGUGUGGCUGUGUGAUACCAGCUGGAUCACUACUACGCUAAAUGUGCAUCUUACUUACAUUUGAAAUAUGUUUAGGCAAAUGGAUAUGUAUUUCCCUUUCACAGGGAGAAAGUGGAUCAAGAGGAGAAGAUGGCAAAAAGGUCCUUCAAUUGAAAACAUUUAUUUUAUAUAAUUAAAAUAUCUUU
rnacentral:lncRNA from 1 species